rnacentral:rRNA from 1 species
GACGAACGCUGGCGGCGUGCUUUACACAUGCAAGUCGAACGGAAAGGCCCAGCUUGCUGGGUGCUCGAGUGGCGAACGGGUGAGUAACACGUGGGUGAUCUGCCUCUAACUUCGGGAUAAGCUUGGGAAACUGGGUCUAAUACCGGAUAGGACAAUCGUUUAGUGUCGGUUGUGGAAAGUUUUUUCGGUUAGGGAUGAGCCCGCGGCCUAUCAGCUUGUUGGUGGGGUAAUGGCCUACCAAGGCGUCGACGGGUAGCCGGCCUGAGAGGGUGGACGGCCACAUUGGGACUGAGAUACGGCCCAGACUCCUACGGGAGGCAGCAGUGGGGAAUAUUGCACAAUGGGCGCAAGCCUGAUGCAGCGACGCCGCGUGGGGGAUGACGGCCUUCGGGUUGUAAACCUCUUUCGACAGGGACGAAGCUUUGGUGACGGUACCUGUAUAAGAAGCACCGGCUAACUACGUG